rnacentral:misc_RNA from 1 species
GAUGAAGAACGUAGUGAAAUGCGAUAAGUAAUGUGAAUUGCAGAAUUCAGUGAAUCAUCGAAUCUUUGAACGCACCUUGCGCUCUUUGGUAUUCCAAAGAGCAUGCCUGUUUGAGUGUCAUGAAAAUAUCAACCUUGACUUGGGUUUUGUGCUCUAGUCUCGGCUUGGAAUUGGGUGCUUGCCGCUUUUACGAGCGGCUCACCUUAAAUGUAUUAGCUGGAUCUGUCUUUGAGACUUGGUUUGACUUGGCGUAAUAAGUAUUUCGCUAAGGACAUUCUUCGGAGUGGCCUCGUUUCUAGGACGCUUGUCCGCUUUCCAAUACAAGUUCCACCUCGUGGACAUGACUUUUUAUUAUCUGGCCUCAAAUCAGGUAGGACUACCCGCUGAACUUAAGCAUAUCAAUAAGCGGAGGA